rnacentral:rRNA from 1 species
CCUACGGGUGGCAGCAGUCGAGAGUCUUCCACAAUGGACGAAAGUCUGAUGGAGCGACGCCGCGUGCAGGAUGAAGUCCUUCGGGAUGUAAACUGCUUUUAGGAGGGAGAAAGUAAUUGAUAGUACCUCCAGAAUAAGGGGUUGCUAAACUCGUGCCAGCAGCAGCGGUAAUACGAGUACCCCGAGCAUUGUCCGGAUUUAUUGGGCGUAAAGGGUGUGUAGGAGGCUGUGUUAGUCUCGCCUUAAAACUUCUAGCUCAACUAGAAAUAUGGGCGGGAAACGGCACGGCUAAGAGGAUGCGAGAGGCUUACGGAACUCAUGGUGUAGGGGUGAAAUCCGUUGAUAUCAUGGGGAACACCAAAGGCGAAGGCAGUAAGCUAGCGUAUUCCUGACUCUGAAACACGAAAGCGUGGGGAGCAAAAAGGAUUAGAUACCCUUGUAGUC